rnacentral:rRNA from 1 species
UACAGAGGUCUCAAGCGUUGUUCGGAUUCAUUGGGCGUAAAGGGUGCGUAGGUGGCGCGUUAAGUCAGGUGUGAAAUUUCGGAGCUUAACUCCGAAACUGCAUUUGAUACUGGCGUGCUUGAGGACUGGAGAGGAGACUGGAAUUCGAUGGUGUAGCAGUGAAAUGCGUAGAGAUCAUGAGGAAGACCAGUGGCGAAGGCGGGUCUCUGGACAGUUCCGUGAC